rnacentral:lncRNA from 1 species
UCUCUGCUCAUCUCUCUCUCUCUAUCUUUCUCUCUCGUACAUCACUUUCGGUCUCAAUACUCUCUUUCAGUGCUUCUCUCGUCUUACUGCUUCGCUCUCUCUCUCUCUUUCUCUCUCUCUCUCUCUCUCUCUCCUCUCACGUCCUCGAACAGUCCCACAGCAUUAUCUCCCUCCUCCUCCCGGGAGCUCCUCUCCAGCCUGCCGUUACUUGUUGCAGGAGGCUGGGGGCACCAUCUCCAACGGGAGCCGUCGUGUCACGGCCCCUGAUGAAGUGCUUAUGUAGCGUUCUGCGAUUCGCCGUUGCCAUAGCGACGCGGCUAAGCCCAUUUGUCUACAAUAAGCUCGAUCGGUUCAAAGGGAGCGGGAGGGAGAUGAAGAGGCAGAUAAAAGGGACAGAGUGCUGUUGAACGAUGAGGCGGAGCGAGGGGAGCUAACUCUCGCAGGGUGUUGUUUUUAGGGGAGCGCGUGCUCCCUGGGCAACGAGGAGCACGCGCAGCAUCCGCACGAGGCCGGUGCUGGUUUUAAUUUAUUUUAAGGCCCAUUUCAAUGUGCAGCCAUCGCAAUAUUCACACAGCCGGAACGAGGCCUCCUCUUCCUCCUCCUCUUCCUCCUCCUCCUCCUCCUCCGCCCGAAGGUGACAGAUGGGCAGACAGGCCACUAGGGGGCGGACUGUCACCACUGUUACCCACAGCACAACCCACUGACCCCACGUUGCAUCUGCGGGCGGAGGGUGGUGGCCACAGGUGGUGCUGGCUGUUGGAGGGACAGAAGCUGCCGCGUGCACAGAGGCCGGCGGGGCCGUUUGAGGCGAGGACCCGCGCUUUGCAUCUCUGAGAUGAAAGGCUGGAAAAAAGCGUCCAAGGAUCAUCACGGCUGUUGUUUCCCACCCCAGUGCAUGCUGGGACAGCAGCUGCCUGCAUCGCAGCCCGUUUCUCAGAAAUGAGCUGAAAGACAAUGAGAGGGAAAGGAAAACAGCCCAGGACCGAGAUGUUUUGCUGAAUUGCUCCACACCUUAAAUACACAUGGGAAAAGUGUUUGCACAGUCUGGGCGUUGAUAUAAGUCAUUAUUGCAUAUUUAUCAAAAUGGAAAAACUUUUACACAAUUUUCUGCAAAGUAGAAAUUCAUCCUUACUUGAUAUCGUUCUCUCUUGUGGGAAAACAGUUUAUGUUUUUGAGUUUUGUAUGAACUUGAUGGUGGAUCACUGAAAACACGUGUUCACAUCUCAGACAAAUAAACACAUCCAUCAUCAUAAGCA